GUGGUACCCCUUGCUAGGCGAGACUAGGUGGUCUCUGAAUUGUCACUGUCUAGAAGGGUUCUCCGGCACUCUGCAAUUUUGAAAUUUAACAAAAUCAACGUUCACCCUCCUAUAGUCUUUCGAUCCACUGUUCAUUAAGGUUACAGCCAGCCAAUAAUGGGUCUCCCCGACAAUAACGGAGUCUCUUUGUCGUCUUGGGGCUCUUUAGGUGGGACCCUUGGAGACGCUCUUGUAACAAUCGGUGGAAGAACGGUAGCAAGGUCCCAGCACCUAGCACGGCCACGAUUAUAGGAGUACGAGCACCGGUGCCGACGGUCUGUUCACCAAGCUUUCCCAAGAAGCCUCUUGUUGGUACCACGUUCCUCGGUGCCACUGGUACCGUCUAUGUCACACUCGGACUCCAUACCCUGACUCUGCCAAUGGACACGCUGAUAACGCCUCCACUGUAAACAUUCAGAGACAGAAGGAAGCAAGUGCACGCUCUGUUAAUAUAUGCUAUUAAUAAAUGGGAUACCAGAUUUGUCCCCAUUACCAUUACUCCACUUAAUAUUUAUAGUGACACUCCUUUUUCCUAUUAUUAUUUUUACUCUCAGCCAUCUCAUGUUCAUUUAUCGAUCCAGCCACUUGGUGAUAAUUGUUUUCUUUUUCCUACCGACAAAAAGACAAGUAUUACUUGAGUCACUUGCCAAUGCCUCCAAGUCGUUCGACGGACAAUGCAUCUCUCGAGUCUCCCGAGAUUUUCUGCGCAAGGGAUUUCUUUUUAAGUGAGCAUACUCGAGCAUGAAAGGAUUCGCGAUUACGAGGAUGAGAGAUCCUUGAGUGUCGACUUAAAUCCUAGGUCCUUCUCAUACUGAAAUAGGUACGAGGAAGAACGAGGAAACCCUCCAACCGUGGGAGUCGGUAAGGAUGACCUCGUUUUAUUUCACCUUGAUGUAACAAAAGUCGGAUAGUCUUACGUUUCCAAGGGUCUGGGUCGAGGCUCCAUGGACAAUACAAACACGUGCCACGCGAUAGGCAGAUACCACAAUUGCCACGAGUAUUCAAAUCCAUCACGUAAAGCGACACCGUCAAAAUCCAUAUCAGAGAGUUACUCUGGAUCGCCCUGAAACGUGAAGGCGAUUGUCAAUGGAUCACGGGGACGGAAGGAGGAGCAAAGAUGACGUUAUAACGACGAGGAAGAGAGGCCCGUGUGGAAAGUUCGAACCUCGACAUAUUUUACUCCACGUCGAAACGGCGCCUGUCAUUUUUAGUCCAGACGACGUAUUAUCAAUGAACGUAUAAAUUGUCAUUUAUUAUCUCUCGUAGAAAAUAAAUUAAGCAUGCAGCUCAGACUAGACUUCGCUCGGUGUUCAUAAUAAUUGUACAGUCCUGGGAGGAUGAGUGACGACCGACCCCUGUGGACCAGAACGGGGUUAAGUUCGUGUCGACUGAUGAUAUUUUUAGAAUCAUUUCCUUAUCCAGGAAUGCGGUCGGCACCAUGUAUCAAUCCUAGAAGUAUUUACACUCGGCGGUCACUCGUAUCUAUUUUUUUUACUUUGUGUACAGCGACAAAGACCCCCGGCUCUCUAACGUUACAUAAAGUUGUAUGCACUUACGUAAAAAUCACUAGGAAAUGCUCUAGGGACCUAUCGCACAACCUGAGUCUGGGAGGGCGGGAAAUUUAAAUAUCUUUAAAGUCGAUAUUAUCGUCAAAUUCCGCUCUCCCUUAUUCUCGAUAUCUUUAACUUCGUUAUUAAUUGAAUCUCUUUAACCGUUGCAAUGAACUCUGAUCAAGUAGACGCCCGAUGAGACCGUAGCUGACGGCGUAUUUGUAAAUAGCACUUCAAUUACGCGGUCUACAGAGAAAGCAUGUGAUAAUUGACAAAGUGCAUGACACGUCGGUCGUAUGGAUAUGAGAUUCGCAUUAAAACAUUGUAUGUAUCAAAAUAAUUAAAUGGACGUGCACGUUGCAUCGGCAACCGAUUAGUAAACAACUGGGAAUUCGGGUACGUUACGUUUGAGUGGACGAUAACGUCAUUAAUUGCAUCAGCGUUGAAGAAUCGUCAUAGAAAACUACCAGCGUUUAAAUUCAAUAACUAAGCAUAUCUAAGAGCUAUUUUAAUCGUUCAGAGAACUUGUGUAUUUGCAGCGAAAUAUUGCGUGUCAAGUCACAGAGAUCCUUGAUAACAGCACGUGCACGUUAGUAUGCACGGAGCAUUAAAGUAAGCAGGCUUGUAAACAAAGGAGGUAUUACGUUUUGGUCUGAGAGAGAAGGAGAGAGUCGUUAAAGCGGUAAAGAGAGAGAAAGAAAAAUUACUAUGCCAAAAUAAAAGUUGGCUGUCUUUUUUUUUUUCAAAACUGUCA